rnacentral:lncRNA from 1 species
GACUGCGUGGCAUGCUUCUUUCCAGACUCAAAAUUUGUUAUCAACAAACCUAUUACCAACCUGCAUAAACCUAUUACCAACGUAUGUAAUGUCUCUCUAUUAGAUUGAAACAUGCACAAAUAUAAGGAAAACAUGCUGAUAUUGGACAAAAUCGUGCAGAAGUCAAGAUUUCCAAAGGUUUGAAUGUGUAAUAUUUCUAGACUCUUUGAUACUAUAGUUAUGCCAAGUAUCUAGAUCACGUUAUUACUGCAACCGAUUAAUAAAGCUAGGCAUAAAUUUUUUAUUGAUUAACAUUUUCAUGUCCAGAAAGCUGCACACAAGAGCAUCAUAAAUUAGUGGCCAUGCU